UGAUGUUAGAUCAAAUCUUCAAAGGGUGAUAUACCCCAUUUUCUUGCAGACAAACUGAAGAAGCUCCAUUGUGAAGGGACCUUAAAUGACUUUCUGGGAGAGGCAACUAUCCUUUGGACAAGUGAAGAAACUGAAUCCAGAUAAUGAACACCUUGACUCUUCUGGUGGGCAAAACUCACAACAGGUGGCUGGACAUGGCUAUGAAGAAUGCCUCUCUUUCUGGGAAGGUACUAAAAGUUCACAUUUAGAUGAAGUUUUUUUUGAGCACUCAGGAUAAGAUGGAAAGCUGCUGGAAUGCUGGGAAUUGGAUUGGAUUUCCCUUUGAAGAUAAAUACAGGAGACAAGUAUGGUUAUUGAUUCAGCCGUACUUCUGUAAAGACAAACAGCCGAAUUCUCUGCCUUCCUCUGACACAAGUGACCACAGUGACUUCAUCCAGCAGCAGAAAGUUGGAGAAAAUCUCUGAUAAUGAGCACACUGGGGACUGCGUUAACACUUGGCCAAGCAUGGAGCCUGUGCUCAGAGUCACUUACCACUGUCCCAGUGGCUGACAAUUAAGGUUGUGCUCUGAUGCAAGUUCAGUUCAUACCAUGGAGGCUUUCUGAAGAGGAAAAAGCCUGACUGUAUCUGUAGGUCCAAGAUCAUCAUUCAGCUUGAGUAGAGGCAGGAAAGAGCUCUUCACCAGGAAAUGUAUCCCUACUUGUCUUUUUCUAGGGAACUGAG
rnacentral:lncRNA from 1 species